CUCGCUCUAACGGGGUGCCGUCGAUUGACGGCUGAGAGGCAAAGGCCAACCCGCGGAACCUGAUCCGGCUCAUACCGGCGGAGGGAUUAGACGCUGAGAUAAA
rnacentral:ncRNA from 2 species